rnacentral:rRNA from 1 species
GAUGAACGCUGGCGGCGUGCCUAAUACAUGCAAGUCGAGCGAACAGACGAGGAGCUUGCUCCUCUGACGUUAGCCGCGGACGGGUGAGUAACACGUGUAUCACCUACCUAUAUGACUGGGAUAACUUCGGGAAACCGGAGCUAAUACCGGAUGAUAUAUUGAACCGCAGGGUUCAAUAGUGAAAGACGGCUGUUCUGUCACGUAUCGCUGGAUCCCCGCCGCAUUAUCUAGUUGUUAAGGUAACGGCCUAUCAAGGCAACGAUGCGUAACCGACCUGAGAGGGUGAUAGGCGACACUGGAGCUGAGACAGCGUCCAGACUACUGCGAGAGGCAGCAGUAGGGAAUCUUCCGCAAUAGGCGAGAGCUUGACGGAGCAACGCCGCGUGAGUGAUGAAGGUCUUCGGAUCGUAAAACUCUGUUAUUAGUGAAGAACAAAUGUGUAAGUAGCUAUGCACGUCUUGACGGUACCUAAUCAGAAAGCCACGGCUAACUACGUG